rnacentral:rRNA from 1 species
GAAUGCUGACAUAAGUAACGAUAAAGCGGGUGAAAAGCCCGCUCGCCGGAAGACCAAGGGUUCCUGUCCAACGUUAAUCGGGGCAGGGUGAGUCGACCCCUAAGGCGAGGCCGAAAGGCGUAGUCGAUGGGAAACAGGUUAAUAUUCCUGUACUUGGUGUUACUGCGAAGGGGGGACGGAGAAGGCUAUGUUGGCCGGGCGACGGUUGUCCCGGUUUAAGCGUGUAGGCUGGUUUUCCAGGCAAAUCCGGAAAAUCAAGGCUGAGGCGUGAUGACGAGGCACUACGGUGCUGAAGCAACAAAUGCCCUGCUUCCAGGAAAAGCCUCUAAGCAUCAGGUAACAUCAAAUCGUACCCCAAACCGACACAGGUGGUCAGGUAGAGAAUACCAAGGCGCUUGAGAGAACUCGGGUGAAGGAACUAGGCAAAAUGGUGCCGUAACUUCGGGAGAAGGCACGCUGAUAUGUAGGUGAAGCGACUUGCUCGUGGAGCUGAAAUCAGUCGAAGAUACCAGCUGGCUGCAACUGUUUAUUAAAAACACAGCACUGUGCAAACACGAAAGUGGACGUAUACGGUGUGACGCCUGCCCGGUGCCGGAAGGUUAAUUGAUGGGGUUAGCGCAAGCGAAGCUCUUGAUCGAAGCCCCGGUAAACGGCGGCCGUAACUAUAACGGUCCUAAGGUAGCGAAAUUCCUUGUCGGGUAAGUUCCGACCUGCACGAAUGGCGUAAUGAUGGCCAGGCUGUCUCCACCCGAGACUCAGUGAAAUUGAACUCGCUGUGAAGAUGCAGUGUACCCGCGGCAAGACGGAAAGACCCCGUGAACCUUUACUAUAGCUUGACACUGAACAUUGAGCCUUGAUGUGUAGGAUAGGUGGGAGGCUUUGAAGUGUGGACGCCAGUCUGCAUGGAGCCGACCUUGAAAUACCACCCUUUAAUGUUUGAUGUUCUAACGUUGGCCCGUUAUCCGGGUUGCGGACAGUGUCUGGUGGGUAGUUUGACUGGGGCGGUCUCCUCCUAAAGAGUAACGGAGGAGCACGAAGGUUGGCUAAUCCUGGUCGGACAUCAGGAGGUUAGUGCAAUGGCAUAAGCCAGCUUGACUGCGAGCGUGACGGCGCGAGCAGGUGCGAAAGCAGGUCAUAGUGAUCCGGUGGUUCUGAAUGGAAGGGCCAUCGCUCAACGGAUAAAAGGUACUCCGGGGAUAACAGGCUGAUACCGCCCAAGAGUUCAUAUCGACGGCGGUGUUUGGCACCUCGAUGUCGGCUCAUCACAUCCUGGGGCUGAAGUAGGUCCCAAGGGUAUGGCUGUUCGCCAUUUAAAGUGGUACGCGAGCUGGGUUUAGAACGUCGUGAGACAGUUCGGUCCCUAUCUGCCGUGGGCGCUGGAGAACUGAGGGGGGCUGCUCCUAGUACGAGAGGACCGGAGUGGACGCAUCACUGGUGUUCGGGUUGUCAUGCCAAUGGCACUGCCCGGUAGCUAAAUGCGGAAGAGAUAAGUGCUGAAAGCAUCUAAGCACGAAACUUGCCCCGAGAUGAGUUCUCCCUGACUCCCUGAGAGUCCUGAAGGAACGUUGAAGACGACGACGUUGAUAGGCCGGGUGUGUAAGCGCAGCGAUGCGUUGAGCUAACCGGUACUAAUGAACCGUGAGG